CCUACGGGAGGCUGCAGUGGGGAAUAUUGGACAAUGGGGGCAACCCUGAUCCAGCCAUGCCGCGUGUGUGAAGAAGGCCCUCGGGUUGUAAAGCACUUUCAGUGAGGAAGAACGCCUGGUGGUUAAUACCCAUCAGGAAAGACAUCACUCACAGAAGAAGCACCGGCUAACUCCGUGCCAGCAGCCGCGGUAAUACGGAGGGUGCGAGCGUUAAUCGGAAUUACUGGGCGUAAAGUGCGCGUAGGUGGCUUGAUAAGCCGGUUGUGAAAGCCCCGGGCUCAACCUGGGAACGGCAUCCGGAACUGUCAAGCUAGAGUGCAGGAGAGGAAGGUAGAAUUCCCGGGGUAGCGGUGAAAUGCGUAGAGAUCGGGAGGAAUACCAGGGGCGAAGGCGGCCUUCUGGACUGACACUGACACUGAGGUGCGAAAGCGUGGGUAGCAAACAGGAUUAGAUACCCGGGUAGUC
rnacentral:rRNA from 1 species